GCUGGGCAUGGUGGCGCAUGCCUGUAGUCCCAGCUACUCGGGAGGCUGAGGCAGGAGAAUCACUUGAACCCAGGAGGUUGCAGUGAGCAGAGAUUGCACCACUGCACUCCAGCUUGGGCAACAGAGUGAGACUUUGUCUCAA
rnacentral:SRP_RNA from 1 species